GAAACAUUCGUAAUCGAGAUGUGGAUUCAUAGAUUAGGUUAGGUUGCCACAAUUCGUUAUAAAAAUUUCGUGUUUGAAUUCAAGAUGAAAUAGGAUACGAGCACUGAGAAUAAGCAUCACUUUGGAAACGAAGCUUAAUUAUAUUCUUGAUAAUUAUAGCGAUAGAAAAAAAUAAGAUAUAUAUAAAGUAAGAAAAAGAAAACGAAAACACGUACAAAUUCUCGUAAAACGUGAGAUUAGAAAAAUUCGUGAUCGAGAUGUGGAUUCGUAGAUUAGGUUAGGUUGCCACGAUUCGUAAGGAUAGAAGCUUCGUGUUCGAAUUAGCCGGAUUCAAGAUGGAAAGGGAUGCAAAGCACGAGAGAUUAAACGAGGUAUACAUAUAAUGGAUAGUGUAGUCUGAACGUGCACGAGUCGUGGAAGCAUACGUAUUGGACGAGAACGUAUUGCAUACAUGGUACAUGCGAGUUACGCUCGUAUUUCCGUGUAUGCGAACACAGCAUUGUCACCGAUUCCUAGCUAGAAUAGAACACCGAGCAUAGAAGCUGCGUCGGCAAAAUUACAGGUAUCAUACGUGUUUUAUCGCGUGUAUGAUACAUACUAAUUGUAACAGCUUAGCGCAAAUACCACUUUCUCGCGUAAAACUUCAAGGAUUAAAUUUCAAUCUUAACCGA